CGAGGUGUAGCGCAAUUUGUUUAGCACAUUUGUUGUGGAUACGAAGGGUCAUAGGUUCGAAUCCCAUCACCUUGA